rnacentral:rRNA from 1 species
AAACCGGAGCUAAUACCGGAUAUGACACGGAGAUGCAUGUCUACCGUGUGGAAAGUUUUCGGUCUGGGAUGGGCUCGCGGCCUAUCAGCUUGUUGGUGAGGUAAUGGCUCACCAAGGCGACGACGGGUAGCCGGCCUGAGAGGGCGACCGGCCACACUGGGACUGAGACACGGCCCAGACUCCUACGGGAGGCAGCAGUGGGGAAUAUUGCACAAUGGGCGAAAGCCUGAUGCAGCGACGCCGCGUGAGGGAUGACGGCCUUUGGGUUGUAAACCUCUUUCAGCAGGGAAGAAGCGCAAGUGACGGUACCUGCAGAAGAAGCACCGGCUAACUACGUGC